rnacentral:rRNA from 1 species
AUACGUAGGGUGCGAGCGUUGUCCGGAAUUACUGGGCGUAAAGAGCUCGUAGGUGGUUUGUCGCGUCGUCUGUGAAAUUCCGGGGCUUAACUCCGGGCGUGCAGGCGAUACGGGCAUAACUUGAGUACUGUAGGGGAGACUGGAAUUCCUGGUGUAGCGGUGAAAUGCGCAGAUAUCAGGAGGAACACCGGUGGCGAAGGCGGGUCUCUAGGCAGUAACUGACGCUGAGGGGCGAAAGCAUGGGUAGCGAACAGGAUUAGAUACCCUGGUAGUCCAUGCCGUAAACGGUGGGCGCUAGGUGUAGGGGUCUUCCACGACUUCUGUGCCGUAGCUAACGCAUUAAGCGCCCCGCCUGGGGAGUACGGCCGCAAGGCUAAAACUCAAAUGAAUUGACGGGG